rfam:Xanthomonas sp. Mitacek01 contig_17, whole genome shotgun sequence.
ACCGGGAACCAUCUGGAGAGGUGGCAGAGCGGUUGAAUGUACCUGACUCGAAAUCAGGCAGGCGUUUAUAGCGCCUCGGGGGUUCGAAUCCCCCCCUCUCCGCCAGAUUCGCAAACGCCCCGAAAGGGGCGUUUUGCGUUUCUGGCGGAGCGGGGGGAUGGA